rnacentral:tRNA from 1 species
GGGCAUUUAGCUUAGCGGUAAAGCGUAGGAUUCUAACCCCGAAAGACACCAGUUCGAAUCUGGUAAUGCUCA